UACAUGUGCUGUGUGAUCCUCCAUGUUGCCUGCCGAUUGUCACAGUCUGUAUGAAAGUAUGUUGGAGCACAAAUUUUUCUAAACCUCGUCACUUCGUCACUGGAGGCAUCAUUUCAAUGUUAACAGUUCGUGAUGCAAACGAAACUUUCAGUGUGAAACGUUUAACGAUAUGACACUGACAAUAAAUUCCCUGUGAUGCGAG